rnacentral:rRNA from 1 species
AACGAACGCUGGCGGCAGGCUUAACACAUGCAAGUCGAACGCUCGUAGCAAUACGGGAGUGGCGGACGGGUGAGUAACGCGUGGGAACGUGCCCUGAGGUACGGAAUAACUGCGGGAAACUGCAGCUAAUACCGUAUGAGCCCCGUGAGGGGGAAAGAUUUAUCGCCUUAGGAGCGGCCCGCGUCGGAUUAGCUAGUUGGUGGGGUAACGGCUUACCAAGGCUUCGAUCCGUAGCUGGUCUGAGAGGACGAUCAGCCACACUGGGACUGAGACACGGCCCAGACUCCUACGGGAGGCAGCAGUGGGGAAUCUUGCGCAAUGGGGGCAACCCUGACGCAGCCAUGCCGCGUGAAUGAUGAAGGCCUUAGGGUUGUAAAGUUCUUUGCCCGUGACGAUGAUGACGGUAACGGGAGAAUAAGCUCCGGCUAACUUCGUGCCAGCAGCCGCGGUAAU